CGAGUCUCCUGUAGGAAAUGCCUUCUGUGUUCACAGUCGUGUCUCACCUGUAAGUGACUGGUAUAAUCCACAAAGACUGUCUGAGAGUUUGUACUUACAGAUGCUUCUGAGGCUUUUAAUCAUGGGUGGUCUUGGGUUCAUGAAGGAGAGUCAUUCAUCCACUCAGCUGUGAUAUUCUUCCUGUCUGGAGAUUCUGCUUAGUAACCCGUUGUCAUGGUGGUGGACUUGCGCUCUGAUUGGACGAGACACGAGGCCUCCGGGACUCCAGCGUGCAGCUGAUUUAGAAAAUGCAGCCAGGGGUGAGACCAGGGGUCAGUCGCUGCAUAUUGAAGCCAGAUGUGUCCCAAGAAACAGGCUGAAUAUUGGGAAGAACAUGGCUCUAUUUCCCCUCCCACUCCCCACAAUUCCAGCAUCAACAACAACUCGAACAAAAUCAACACUUCUUUCCAAGAAAGCAUAUGGUUCACACAUGUGCAGACAGAACAAUGCUUUAUUUUCUUCGUAAGUCAUGUUGACUAGACGCAGGACUUUUGAUUGCUGUAUUCAGCCAACAGGGAGGCUGUAGUCUCUCUGUAUGUAUACCCACAUAUCAACACAUCUCGCUUUCACCAUGAGGGUAGAACAAACACACCUAGCAAUGUUUUCCUUCACAGUCUUCAGUAAGGAAUUGUUUACAAAGAGCUGAACUGGAGAUACGAUGAUCUUGCACAUGAAAGUGAAUAUUUCUUCUUGAAAGCUGUUGGAAUUUGGUUAUUAAAAUCAUCUGUGUCAGUGUUUUUAUCAUUAAUGAAAAGCAAAAACUAAA